UACGUACUCCCUCUGUUUGAAAUUACUUUGUCGUAGAAAUAGAUGUAUCUAGAUGUAUUUUAGUUCUAGAUACAUUUAUUUUCAAGACAAGUAAUUUCAAACGGAAGGAGUAGUAU
rfam:Triticum aestivum genome assembly, contig: Triticum_aestivum_CS42_TGACv1_scaffold_113487_2AS